rnacentral:lncRNA from 1 species
UUCAGAGGCGCCUUUGCGCUAAAGGUCAUGGUGUUGUACAACUCCAAGUUGAAUGUCAAUGGUAAAGCAUAUCUAGCUGAAAAGAUGAUGGUGCACCCAAAAUACGUAAGCAAGACACGGAUCGUGCAUGACAUCGCACUUCUGAAACUGGCAGUGGACCUGGAAUUCAACAGACUGGUAAAACCAGUGUGCCUGCCUAGAGGAAAAAUGGACAUUGCAGGCAAGACUCUUGUAGUUGCCGGUUGGGGUAGGACAGAAUCUGCAAAAGAAAGCAAAGUUAUUCUGCACGCAGAAGUUGUUGCUCUCACGGAUGCCAAGUGC